rnacentral:rRNA from 1 species
AAUAGAUACCCUGGUAGUCCACGCCGUAAACGAUGAGUACUAGGUGUAGGAGGUAUCGACUCCUUCUGUGCCGCAGUUAACACAAUAAGUACUCCGCCUGGGAAGUACGGUCGCAAGAUUAAAACUCAAAGGAAUUGACGGGGGCCCGCACAAGCAGCGGAGCAUGUGGUUUAAUUCGAAGCAACGCGAAGAACCUUACCUAGACUUGACAUCCCCUGAAUUACCAUGUAAUGUGGGAAGCCCUUCGGGGCAGGGAGACAGGUGGUGCAUGGUUGUCGUCAGCUCGUGUCGUGAGAUGUUGGGUUAAGUCCCGCAACGAGCGCAACCCUUAUCAUUAGUUGCUACCAGUAAGAUGAGCACUCUAAUGAGACUGCCCGGGUUAACCGGGAGGAAGGCGGGGAUGACGUCAAAUCAUCAUGCCCCUUAUGUCUAGGGCUACACACGUGCUACAAUGGUGAGAACAACAAGAUGCGAUACCGCGAGGUGGAGCAAAACUGAAAAACUCAUCUCAGUUCGGAUUGCAGGCUGAAA